rnacentral:rRNA from 1 species
AUAAAUAUACUAAUCAUUCAACUAAUAAUUUAAUUAAAAUAAUUAAUAAAUAAUCUUCAUAAAUUUACUAACAAAAUACCGUAAGGGAAUAAAAUAAUAUAUAAAAGUAGUUAUAAAUAAACAUACCUUGUGCAUAAUGGUUUUACAAGAACAAAUUUUAUAAUUCACUCCCGAAUUCUUUAUGAGCUGAUCUUUAAAUGAUAAGAUCCAAUUACUAGUUGUGUCAAAAACUUUAAAAUAUUAAAAAUCAGAGGCUACAUACCAACCGCAUAAGAAAAUCUCUGGUUUCCAUAAAAAUUUAUAUAUUAAAUCAAUUAUACAAUGUAUAAUAUGUUAAAUAAUAGAGGAUAAGCCCUAUUAUACAAUCAAUAAGUAAUUAUAAAACAAAUAAAGUAGGCCUAAAAUCAGCCACCUUAAAAUACGUCACAGUAAUAUAAACUAAUUAAUUUAUAAAAAUAAAUGAUAAACAUAAAUGGAUAAAUGAAUAAACAAUCAUUCAUUUUAAAUCUGUAAAAACAAGUAUUUAAUUAAAUUAUUUAGCAACACAUAAAAACAACAAAAAAUAAAUAAUAAUAAAAAAUUUUAUUAAGAAACUCGGCAAAUAUCUAUUUCGACUGUUUACCAAAAACAUUGCUUCUUGAAUUUAAUAAAAAGUAAUCUCCUGCCCAGUGAAAUUUAAACGGCCGCGGUAUCCUAACCGUGCAAAGGUAGCAUAAUAAUUUGCCCAUUAAUUGUGGGCUAGAAUGAAGGGGGUAACGAAAUAAGCACUGUCUCAAUAAAACUAAUAAAAACUAAUAUCCAAGUGAAGAAGCUUAGAUAAAAUUAAAGGACAAGAAGACCCUAUAGAGCUUUAUCUUUUUAUGUUCUAACAAAUAAAAGAUUCGGUUGGGGCGACCAUGGAUAAUUCAUCCAUAAUUUAUAAGACUAACUAGUCAAUUCAUAGAUCCUUUUAAGAUCACAGAAUUAAGCUACCUUAGGGAUAACAGGCUAAUCCUAUUAAAGAGCUCUUAUCGACAAUAGGGAUUGGCACCUCGAUGUUGGCUUAGAAUAUCUUUAUGGCGCAGAAGUCAUAUAAAGAGGGUUUGUUCAACCCGUAACAUUCUACAUGAGCUGAGUUCAGACCGGCGUAAGCCAGGUUAGUUUCUAUCCUUAAUAUCCAUUUAAAUUUACAGUACGAAAGGACCUAAAUUUUACAUUUCAUGUAAAGAAUAAAUAAAUAUAAUAAUAUAUAAUAAUAAACACUUAUACACUAUAA